rnacentral:RNase_P_RNA from 2 species
UACAGGUGUUGGAUAGUUGCGCCCCGUUUUGCGGGGUGAGGAAAGUCCGAACACAGCCAUAACUUUGGUUAUGGAGCACGGUAGUGGGUAACACCCACAUAUAGUAAUAUAUAGGUGCGAACAGAAACGACCCGGUUAAGUCCGGCUGAAACGGUCCCGAUGUUACAAUCGGGAUCCCGACCCCACAAGGGCGUCGGGGCUAAAUCCUUACCUUUGUGCAAGAUCGUGUCCAGCUCCACUUUCAAAACUUAACGUUGUUUGGUAGCUUCGGUGUAAAACAAACAACUUACUUUUAUAUAAACUUGAAAUUAAGUAUUGAAAGUGGGGCUGGGAGAAUCGCUUGAGCCCGUGAGUAAUCUCGGGCCUAGAUAAAUAACUAUCAAGGGAGCGCAAGUUCCCAAACAGAAUUCGGCUUAUAGACACCUGUAAAAA